rnacentral:lncRNA from 1 species
CGUGUAUGAUAGAACAUGGUCAAGGCCCCUCUGUGAACUAGAAGAAGUAUAUAAUUAUGGGUACUUUUCUGGUCGAUCUCAAUAUCACAUAUCUCACAUUCCACAUCACAAAUAUUUUCAUAUCUAAUCUUUGAGUCCCACAAAUACAUAAUGAAAGAGAUUUUUCCAAAAUAAUCAUAUAAUUGAGCACAUAAUUGCACGUACUUUGACAAUAUACUUAAUUUAUAAAUACCUUAAAAAUAUUUAUAUUUUUCCACUCACAAAUUUAUAAAUAAAGAUCUGGCUAAAUUGACAAGUUUUUUCAAGCUUUCACAUCACUACCUGAAGUAAUAGUAUAAUUACUCAAAUUAAAACAUCACAAUUAAAUUAAUACAAUUCCACCACUUAACUCCUCAACUUCUAUAUUUACUCUUAUAUCUCCAAUCCCCAACUUUUAUUCUCAUUAUUAAUUCAUCAACUAAACACCAUGCAUUAUCAAAUCUAUUAAAUUACCCACACUUCCUUAAAAUCAAUAACUUAUACAUAUACAAGCCAUACACAUAAUAUAUUCCGACACAAAAACCUCAAUACUUGUUAUAUAACUUCAUUCAAGCCUUUAAAAAUUUGGAAAUCCAAGGUUUGACAUAAGUGGCACUAAAAUUCUAGAAUAUAGAAAUCUGACACCAAUUUCUGUGUAUUGAAAUCUGCCACCAAAACUAUUGACAGAAAUGACACUUUCUGGGCAGAAAUUCAAAAAUAGCACUAUGCAUUCAUUUUGCCCGAAAAUUAGUUUUAAAAAAAAUACCAAAAUCCAACCUCAACUCCAUAUUUCAUUGUAAUACCUCGUAAAUCAAUUGUUUUGUAUCAUAUACAAUAUAAAUAUAAAAAAUUAUGCUUUGAUUUACAAGCCCAUUUCAUAUUCCUUUAACAUAUAUUCAACUCCAAUAUCUAUUCUUUCCUCCAAAUCUUUUAAGUUAGGCCACUAACUACAAACCCAAAUCUAACAAUAUUAUAUAACAAUGAGUUUUUCUUACCUCUUGGAAUAGAAUAGAAGAAAGGAUGAACCUUGUAUUUGAGUCCAUAUAUCAUCUUCUUCAAUAAUACAUUUUUCCUUUUCUUUUUCCACCUUUUUUCCCCCCUUUUCUUUCUCUCUAUCUUGUUUCCUUCUCUACCUCCUUCUCAAUUCUUCUCUCCCUCUCUCAGCUUCUCUGGCCGUUUUUCA